AACGAACGCUGGCGGCAUGCCUAACACAUGCAAGUCGAACGAGACCUUCGGGUCUAGUGGCGCACGGGUGCGUAACGCGUGGGAACCUGCCCUUAGGUUCGGAAUAACUCUCCGAAAGGGGUGCUAAUACCGGAUAAUGUCUUCGAACCAAAGAUUUAUCGCCUUUGGAUGGGCCCGCGUUGGAUUAGCUAGUUGGUAGGGUAAAAGCCUACCAAGGCGACGAUCCAUAGCUGGUCUGAGAGGAUGAUCAGCCACACUGGGACUGAGACACGGCCCAGACUCCUACGGGAGGCAGCAGUGGGGAAUAUUGGACAAUGGGCGAAAGCCUGAUCCAGCAAUGCCGCGUGAGUGAUGAAGGCCUUAGGGUUGUAAAGCUCUUUUAACCGGGAUGAUAAUGACAGUACCGGGAGAAUAAGCUCCGGCUAACUCCGUG
rnacentral:rRNA from 1 species